rnacentral:pre_miRNA from 1 species
CAUUGUCUUCGCGAUGCUAUACGCAAUAUUGAAAGCUUUAACAUCGCGUUAGGCUAAGG